rnacentral:rRNA from 1 species
AUUGAACGCUGGCGGCAGGCCUAACACAUGCAAGUCGAACGAGUGGCGGACGGGUGAGUAAUGUCUGGGAAACUGCCCGAUGGAGGGGGAUAACUACUGGAAACGGUAGCUAAUACCGCAUACCAUCGGAUGUGCCCAGAUGGGAUGAGCUUGUAGGUGAGGUAACGGCUCCCCUAGGCGACGAUCCCUAGCUGGUCUGAGCGGAUGACCAGCCCCACUGUAACUGAGCCACGGUCCCGCCUCCUACGUGAUGCCGCACUGGGGAAUAUUGCUCAAUGGGCGCAAGCCUGAUGCAGCCAUGCCGCGUGUAUGACUAGGUCCUUCGGGUUUUAAAGUACUUUCAGCGGGGAGGCGUUACCCUCAGAAGAGGCACCGGCUAACUCCGUGCCAGCAGCCGCGGUAAUAC